rnacentral:lncRNA from 1 species
AUUCGAACCGAGAUGAUCGAUUGAUCGCCGUCCUUGCGCCGCACCAAGGGGGAUAAGAGCAGGGCAGGGUUCAGGUAAGAGGACGAGGCAGUCCGCACCGUGCCUCCCGGGCCGGUUCGCCGGCGGCGAGAGCGCGCGCGGAGGCGAGGCGAGGCGGCGCGGAGGAGAAGGGCUCGCCGUGUGCCACCGGCGAGGUAGAGAGAGAUGGGGGAGGAGUAGACGAGACGAGUAGUGCGAUGGAUAUCGUUU